UCUGAAUUGGCAGAUUUAAUGCAGUAGGCUUAGAACCUGAAGAUACCAAGGUAUUCAGAA
rnacentral:tRNA from 1 species